CCUACGGGAGGCAGCAGUGGGGAAUAUUGCGCAAUGGGCGAAAGCCUGACGCAGCGACGCCGCGUGAGGGAUGAAGGUCUUCGGAUCGUAAACCUCUGUCAGCAGGGAAGAACGUUCACUGUGCUAAUCAGCCGUGAAUUGACGGUACCUGCAAAGGAAGCACCGGCUAACUCCGUGCCAGCAGCCGCGGUAAUACGGAGGGUGCGAGCGUUAAUCGGAAUUACUGGGCGUAAAGCGCUCGUAGGCGGUAUUUCAAGUCAAGGGUGAAAUCCCCGCGCUCAACGUGGGAACUGCCUUUGAAACUGGCAAACUGGAGUGUGUGAAGGGGUAGUGGAAUUCCAGGGGUAGGAGGGGAA
rnacentral:rRNA from 1 species